GUCUUCAAUAGAAUCUUCUUCGAAUCACAAUCAACUUUGUUGAACAUAGAAAAACUGCUUCUAAUAAUCCUUUGAGAAAUUAAUUGGAUUGGGUCAUCAAUGUACUUCCAUUACCGGUUCUGAGAAUCUGGUAUUUGAAAGCCCGGUGUUUGUCUUGUAAUCUGUCAGCAUGAUCUGUCUCAACUAAAUGUUAAUCUGAUUUGUCUUGGAGUAGAAUAAUUAAAAAGGUUACGGGACACUUGAUUAUUUAAACUAAGUUUAAAUUAUAAAGAAAAUAAAUUUAAAAAUAAGUUUUAAAAGACGAAAGAAAAUAAAGUAUAAAAUAAACUUAGUUAAAUCUAUAAAGUAAAUUUAAUUAUAUUUAAAAAAUAAAUUCAAAUAAAUUCAUAAUAAACUGAAUAAGUUUAGAAUAAAUUUAUUUCAAA
rnacentral:lncRNA from 1 species